AUAAAAGGCGCAUAGUGUUAUUUACCUAAAAUGUAUCAUUUUAUUCUAGAUCUCUCCUACCGACCAUAUUUGCCAUGCUUGCUUGUAAUUAGCAACGUAGUGGGAUGUUCCUGAAAGUAUGUCCAGCAAACAAACUGGUCAUGGGCAUGUCUGUGUCGUAUGUGGGCGUUCCAUUGCAAGGAUAAGGUGACGCAGGGGUUUAAUUGAAGGCGCCAACGAACAGGAGCAAAAACUAGCUCGUAUAGUAUCUGAUUAGAUUCAGCCACCAGAGCUUACUUCCAAUGAUGAAGAUCGUGUUCCAUACAGGUUGAGAGCCUGUACAAGAGUUGGAACUAUAAGACCACAACCUGACAUACCACCUCAUAGUGUUCACUAUCAGGAUGUAGGGUGUUAUGUAAACAUGGACUAAGCCUCACUUUAACAUUGCCGUUUGUAGAACAGAUGAGGCCAGAAGAUGUUGAUCGGCUGUCAGAGCUUCAAUAGAUAUCAGCAAUUAAUGAAGUGUGUGCUGUAUGACACCGACUGCUCACUUUUCAGAAAUACUCCUAGAAACAACC